AGAGUUUGAUCCUGGCUCAGAGCGAACGCUGGCGGCGUACUUAACACAUGCAAGUCGUACGAGGAUCGUCGGGUUAGCAAUAAUUCGGCGGUUCGAGUGGCGCACGGGUGAGUAACACGUGGGUAACCCACCCUUGAGACCGGGAUACCCUCUCGAAAGGGAGGCUAAUACUGGAUACGUUCCCUGGGACGCAAGAUCUGGGGAGGAGAGGUGGCGAAAGCUGCCGCUCUUGGAGGGGCUCGCGGCCUAUCAGCUAGUUGGUGAGGUAACGGCUCACCAAGGCUAUGACGGGUAGCUGGUCUGAGAGGACGACCAGCCACACGGGAACUGAGACACGGUCCCGACUCCUACGGGAGGCAGCAGUGGGGAAUUUUCCGCAAUGGGCGAAAGCCUGACGGAGUGACGCCGCGUGGGGGACGAAGGCCUUCGGGUCGUAAACCCCUGUCAGAGGGAAAGAAGGGUGUCGGCGUGAAUAGCGUCGGCAUUUGACGGUACCUUCAGAGGAAGCCCCGGCCAACUCUGUGCCAGCAGCCGCGGUAAGACAGAGGGGGCAAGCGUUGCUCGGAAUCACUGGGCGUAAAGGGCGCGUAGGCGGGAUGGCAAGUCGGUCGUGAAAUCCUUCGGCUCAACCGAAGAACGUCGGCCGAUACUGCCGUUCUUGAGGGAUGCAGAGGAGAUUGGAAUUCCCGGUGUAGCGGUGAAAUGUGUAGAGAUCGGGAGGAACACCGGUGGCGAAGGCGGGUCUCUGGGCAUCUCCUGACGCUGAGGCGCGAAAGCGUGGGGAGCAAACGGGAUUAGAUACCCUAGUAGUCC
rnacentral:rRNA from 1 species